rnacentral:misc_RNA from 1 species
GAUGAAGAACGCAGCGAAAUGCGAUAAGUAGUGUGAAUUGCAGAAUUCCGUGAAUCAUCGAAUCUUUGAACGCACAUUGCGCCUUCUGGUAUUCCGGAAGGCAUGCCUGUUCGAGAGUCAUUAACAACCGUUUCGAUCCCUUUCUUUCAGAAAUUACAAAGAGGAAAAGGGUUUGGUUAUGGUGGAGGAGGGAAAGGGAGCGUUUAGCCUGUAAAAAAAGAGGCUGUGUUCCGCCUCCCCCCCAAAAUUGUACAGGCGGUCGUGUGCGCCCACGCAUCGAGGUGUUGUAAAAGCUGCCACGGCACUUUUCACCUGUGCAGUGCGAGAUUGGCCAGCCGGUUUAAAAACCCCUCCGAACAAUCAAAGGUUGACCUCGGAUCAGGUAGGGAUACCCGCUGAACUUAAGCAUAUCAAUAAGCGGAGGA